CCUACGGGGGGCAGCAGUGAGGAAUAUUGGUCAAUGGGCGCGAGCCUGAACCAGCCAAGUCGCGUGAGGGAAGACGGUCCUAUGGAUUGUAAACCUCUUUUGUCGGGGAGCAAAAGACGCCACGCGUGGCGUUCCGAGAGUACCCGAAGAAAAAGCAUCGGCUAACUCCGUGCCAGCAGCCGCGGUAAUACGGAGGAUGCGAGCGUUAUCCGGAUGUAUUGGGGUUAAAGGGUGCGCAGGCGGAAGAUAAAGUCGGCGGGAAAAUUGAGAGGCUCAACCUCGUCGAGCCGUUGAAACUGGUUUUCUUGAGUGAUGGAGAAGUAGGCGGAAUGCGUGGUGUAGCGGUGAAAUGCAUAGAUAUCACGCAGAACUCCGAUUGCGAAGGCAGCAUACCGGCGCUCAACUGACGCUCAUGCACGAAAGUGUGGGUAUCGAACAGGAUUAGAUACCCUUGUAGUC
rnacentral:rRNA from 1 species